rnacentral:tRNA from 1 species
AAUAAGAUGCCUGAAUAAAGGGCUAUCUUGAUAGGAUAGAUCAUGUAACAUAAUUACUCUUAUUA